rnacentral:rRNA from 1 species
AGCGAAUCUCCAAAAAUUAGUCCCAGUUCAGAUUGCAGGCUGCAACUCGCCUGCAUGAAGUCGGAAUUGCUAGUAAUCGUGGAUCAGCAUGCCACGGUGAAUACGUUCCCGGGCCUUGUACACACCGCCCGUCACACCAUGGGAGUCGGUAACACCCGAAGCCUGUAGUCUAACCGCAAGGAGGACGCAGUCGAAGGUGGGAUUGAUGACUGGGGUGAAGUCGUAACAAGGUAAC